AGAACGAACGCUGGCGGCAUGCCUAAUACAUGCAAGUCGAACGAACACUCUGACUUCGGUUGAGGUGUUAGUGGCGCACGGGUGCGUGACGCGUGGGAAUCUGCCCUUGGGUUCGGAAUAACAGUUGGAAACGACUGCUAAUACCGGAUGAUAUCGAAAGAUCAAAGAUUUAUCGCCCAGGGAUGAGCCCGCGUAGGAUUAGCUAGUUGGUGGGUAAAGCUCACCAAGGCGACGAUCCUUAGCUGGUCUGAGAGGAUGAUCAGCCACACUGGGACUGAGACACGGCCCAGACUCCGUACGGGAGGCAGCAGUAGGGAAUAGUUAGGACAAGUGGGCGCAAGCCUGAAUCCAGACCAAGUCGCCGCGUGAGUGAGUGAAGGUCCGUUAGGUUAGUAAACGUCCUUACGUUUACCGAGUACGUAGUAA
rnacentral:rRNA from 1 species